rnacentral:rRNA from 1 species
UACGUAGGGCGCAAGCGUUGUCCGGAAUUAUUGGGCGUAAAGAGCUCGUAGGCGGUCUGUUGCGUCCGCUGUGAAAACCCGGGGCUUAACCCCGGGCUUGCAGUGGAUACGGGCAGACUAGAGGCAGGUAGGGGAGAAUGGAAUUCCCGGUGUAGCGGUGAAAUGCGCAGAUAUCGGGAGGAACACCGGUGGCGAAGGCGGUUCUCUGGGCCUUACCUGACGCUGAGGAGCGAAAGCGUGGGGAGCGAACAGG